AACGAACGCUGGCGGCAUGCCUAACACAUGCAAGUCGAACGAGACCUUCGGGUCUAGUGGCGCACGGGUGCGUAACGCGUGGAAACCUGCCCUUAGGUUCGGAAUAACUCCCCGAAAGGAGUGCUAAUACCGUAUAAUGUCUUCGGACCAAAGAUUUAUCGCCUUUGGAUGGGCCCGCGUUGGAUUAGCUAGUUGGUAGGGUAAAAGCCUACCAAGGCGACGAUCCAUAGCUGGUCUGAGAGGAUGAUCAGCCACACUGGGACUGAGACACGGCCCACACUCCUACGGGAGGCAGCAGUGGGGAAUAUUGGACAAUGGGCGAAAGCCUGAUCCAGCAAUGCCGCGUGAGUGAUGAAGGCCUUAGGGUUGUAAAGCUCUUUUACCCGGGAUGAUAAUGACAGUACCGGGAGAAUAAGCUCCGGCUAACUCCGUG
rnacentral:rRNA from 1 species